rnacentral:tRNA from 1 species
UCAAAUUAGAGCUUGAAAAGUAUUUUAUUUACAUUAAAAAGAUAAUUAUUAAUUUAAUUUAAUUU